rnacentral:rRNA from 1 species
CUCCAGACUCCUACGGGAGGCAGCAGUGAGGAAUAUUGGUCAAUGGGCUUACGCCUGAACCAGCCAAGUCGCGUGAGGGAAGACUGCCCUAUGGGUUGUAAACCUCUUUUGUCAGGGAGCAAUUGGCGCUACGUGUAGCGUUAUCGAGAGUACCUGAAGAAAAAGCAUCGGCUAACUCCGUGCCAGCAGCCGCGGUAAUACGGAGGAUGCGAGCGUUAUCCGGAUUUAUUGGGUUUAAAGGGUGCGUAGGCGGAAUGCCAAGUCAGCGGUAAAAAUUCGGGGCUCAACCCCGUCGUGCCGUUGAAACUGAUGUUCUUGAGUGGGCGAGAAGUAUGCGGAAUGCGUGGUGUAGCGGUGAAAUGCAUAGAUAUCGCGCAGAACCCCGAUUGCGAAGGCAGCGUGCCGUGCCGCCACUGACGCUGAGGCACGAAAGCGCGGGGAUCGAACAGGAUUAGAUACCCUUGUA